AUGAAUCUCUUCAGCCGCUUCAUCUGGAUUCUGACAGCUUUUAUUCCAGCGUCCAGAGGAAUCACUGUGACUCAGCCUGAAGUUGUGACUGUUUCUGAAGGACAAAACGCCACUAUAGAGUGUAAAACUGAUGCUGGGAUAUAUGGCUGGAGUUUAGCUUGGUAUCAGCAGAAACACGGAGAAGCUCCUAAACUCAUCAUUACUGGUGUAGAUGAACUCUAUGAUAACAGUUUUAGUCGAUUCAGUGGGAAUGGAGAAGAAGGAGGAACAGAUUUCACUCUGAGCAUCAGUGGAGUCCAGACUGAAGAUGCUGGACAUUAUUACUGUCAGAGUGUACAUGUGACCGACAGUGUAGUGUUCACACAGUGA